rnacentral:rRNA from 1 species
AGAGUUUGAUCAUGGCUCAGGAUGAACGCUAGCGGCAGGCUUAAUACAUGCAAGUCGAGGGGCAGCACGGGUAGCAAUAUCUGGUGGCGACCGGCAAACGGGUGCGGAACACGUACAGAACCUUCCUUUAAGCGGGGAAUAGCCCGGAGAAAUUCGGAUUAAUACCCCAUAGUAUUGUUGGGUGGCAUCACCUGAUAAUUAAAGAUUUAUCACUUAAAGAUGGCUGUGCGGCUGAUUAGGUAGUUGGUGUAGGUAACGGCUCACCAAGCCUACGAUCAGUAACUGGUGUGAGAGCACGACCAGUCACACGGGCACUGAGACACGGGCCCGACUCCUACGGGAGGCAGCAGUAAGGAAUAUUGGUCAAUGGACGCAAGUCUGAACCAGCCAUGCCGCGUGAAGGAUGAAGGUCCUCUGGAUUGUAAACUUCUUUUAUAGGGGAAGAAACCCAUUUUUUCUAAAGUGGUUGACGGUACCCUGGGAAUAAGCACCGGCUAACUCCGUGCCAGCAGCCGCGGUAAUACGGAGGGUGCAAGCGUUAUCCGGAUUCACUGGGUUUAAAGGGUGCGCAGGCGGAUAUGUAAGUCAGUGGUGAAAUCUUUGGGCUUAACCCGAAAAUUGCCAUUGAUACUAUAUAUCUUGAAUGCUGUGGAGGUAAGCGGAACAUGUCUGUAGCGGUGAAAUGCUUAGAGAUGACAUAGAACACCUAUUGCGAAGGCAGCUUACUACGCAGAUAUUGACGCUCAUGCACGAAAGCGUGGGGAUCAAACAGGAUUAGAUACCCUAGUAGUCC